rnacentral:rRNA from 1 species
AGUGAACGCUGGCGGCGUGCUUAACACAUGCAAGUCGAACGAGAACGGAUUAUAGCUUGCUAUAAUUGUCAGCUAAGUGGCGCACGGGUGAGUAAUGUAUAGGUAAUAUGCCUCUUACUAAGGGAUAACAAAUGGAAACGUUUGCUAAUACCUUAUACUCCUUAUUAACAUAAGUUAAUAAGGGAAAGAUUUAUUGGUAAGAGAUUAGCCUGUAUUGUAUCAGUUAGUUGGUGGGGUAAUGGCUUACCAAGACUAUGACACAUAACUGGUUUGAGUGGAUGAACAGUCACACUGGAACUGAGAACCGGUCCAGACUCAUACGGGAGGCAGCAGUGGGGAAUAUUGCACAAUGGACGGAAGUCUGAUGCAGCAACGCCGCGUGGAGGAUGACACAUUUCGGUGCGUAAACUCCUUUUAUAUGAGAAGAUAAUGACGGUAUUAUAUGAAUAAGCCCCGGCUAACUCCGUGCCAGCAGCCGCCGUAA